UGGAUCCAUUUGACAAUCAGUCCAGCAUUCAGGAAUCUCAAAAGCAACGCAUUUACAGCAUCUUCCCAUGGCGAAUCCCUCGGCAUCACAUACGAGAUGGUAUAGUACUUGGGGCACUCGGGAACCACCCAAAUCUUAUUGAGCAGCGUGAACCGCGAGGAUUCCAAUAUCAAGGAGGUAUAUCUGGAGACCCCAGCCUUGUUCCUAAAUCUGGCCACCUCAUCGAUGACAUCCGCACGUAGAUCUCGAUUCCAGUACAACGGAUGUAUAUACACCGUGGCCAAGCUGGACUCGAAAAUCGCGCCGAAUAUCACGCUCACCAGACACAGCGUUCCAAUGAACAUCCUUUCGGCAUAGCUCGCUGGCAGGUGACUCAAGUUGAGUCGCACCCAAACCACCCAAGUAUCCACCACAAUGCCCAAUGCCUGUCCCAAAAUAUGCUGAUUGCCCAGACUCACUAUCCUCAGCUUCAGAUUAAUCACCCGCAAUGUUAGCCAAAUGAGAGCACAAGCAAAGGCGGUCAACACGAAUCCCAGCCAAAUAUCAUAGCCAACUGCAAAUAUGGGCAAUAUCGAUUGCGGUAUACGACUGGCUUUCGGCACAUAUAUGCACAACUCAUCGUCGUACACGGCCACAGUGAAGUCCAUGUACUGCUGCACCAGGUAAUCCUUGACGAAGAAUCCCGUGAGGCAAAUGUCCAGGCCAUCGUUGAUGAUGGAACCGAUGGCGCCAUUGUAGCUCCCAUUUGCAUAGCGUUCUCUGUUGCGAACUUCCACUAAAAAGUUUUGGGUUCAACUCGCCGUUUCCUUGUUCAGGACCCCAAUCGGCCGUAUAUAUAUUGAUAUUCAUGCAGUGGCACUUGUAUAUGGACACCGAGUGCCCGCUGUCCGAUAACCGCUGGCUGGCGGAGCAACAAAGAGCAUCAAUAAACUUCGCCUUGUGUAGUUUUCAAAAUGAAAAAUAAAUUGGAAAAUUGAAAAAGCAAUUCAUCGCAUUAGGAACGUGCAGUGAAUGGAGGUGGCUGCUGUUGGGAUACCACUCGCCCCUCGAAGCGUCGCCGAUGCCCAUUGACAAUGCCGAAGCUUUUUAUCGUCUUUGUGCCAGGUGCGUCCACCAGACAAUGGACGAGGGGCGGUGGGGCGCAUCCUUGACCAGGACCUCCUCAGUGCUGUUCGCCAGCUGCUAGUUUCGUGGGAAUAUCUCUGAAGUGUGGAAAAAGGAUUCAGAUAUUAGGUACUUUUUCACCAAGCAGCUGAAAAGAAGGCAGCAAUUUUGUAGCUAUUUGUAAAGCUAUUUGAUGUGUGAUGAUAAAGAUACUUUCCAUCAGAUACUUUCCUUUAAAUACUUUCCUUCAGAUACUUUCCUCCAGAUACUUUCCUUCAGAUACUUUCCUUUAGAUACUUUCCUUCAGAUACUUUUCUACAGAUACUUUCCUUUAAAUACUUUCCUACAGAUACUUUCCUACAGAUACUUUCUUACAGAUACUUUCCUUUAAAUACUUUCCUUUAGAUACUUUCCUUUAGAUACUUUCAAAUACUUUCCUUCAGAUACGUUCCUUCAGAUACGUUUUUUCAGAUACUUUCCUCCAGAUACUUUCUUACAGAUACUUUCCUUUAGAUAGUUUCCUUUAGAUACUUUCAAAUACUUUCCUUCAAAUACGUUCCUUCAGGUACGUUCCUUCAGAUACUUUCCUUCAGAUACUUUCCUCCAGAUACUUUCUUCAGAUAUUUUCCUCCAGAUACUUUUCUUCAGAUACUUUCCUCCAGAUACUUUUCUUCAGAUAUUUUCCUCCAGAUACUUUUCUUCAGAUACGUUCCUUCAGAUACUUUCCUCCAGAUACUUUUCUUCAGAUACUUUCCUUCAGAUACGUUUCUUCAGAUACGUUCCUUCAGAUACUUUCCUCCAGAUACUUUUCUUCAGAUACUUUCCUUCAGAUACGUUUCUUCAGAUACUUUCCUUCAGAUACUUUCCUCCAGAUACUUUCUUCAGAUAUUUUCCUCCAGAUACUUUUCUUCAGAUACUUUCCUCCAGAUACUUUUCUUCAGAUACUUUCCUUCAGAUACGUUUCUUCAGAUACGUUCCUUCAGAUACUUUCCUUCAGAUACUUUCCUCCAGAUACUUUCUUCAGAUACUUUCCUCCAGAUACUUUUCUUCAAAUUCUUUCCUUCAGAUACUUUCCUUCAGAUACGUUCCUUCAGAUACUUUCCUUCAGAUACUUUCCUCCAGAUACUUUCCUUCAGAUACUUUCUUUCAGAUACGUUCCUUCAGAUACUUUUCUUCAGAUACUUUCCUUCAGGUACUUUCCUUAAGAUACGUUCCUUCAGGUAGUUUCCUUCA